rnacentral:rRNA from 1 species
GAUGAACGCUGGCGGCGUGCCUAAUACAUGCAAGUCGAGCGAACGGACGAGAAGCUUGCUUCUCUGAUGUUAGCGGCGGACGGGUGAGUAACACGUGGAUAACCUACCUAUAAGACUGGGAUAACUUCGGGAAACCGGAGCUACUACCGGAUGAUAUUUUGAACCGCAUGGUUCAAAAGUGAAAGACGGUCUUGCUGUCACUUAUAGAUGGAUCCGCGCUGCAUUAGCUAGUUGGUAAGGUAACGGCUUACCAAGGCAACGAUGCAUAGCCGACCUGAGAGGGUGAUCGGCCACACUGGAACUGAGGCACGGUCCAGACUCCGACGGGAGGCAGCAGUAGGGAAUCUUCCGCAAUGGGCGAAAGCCUGACGGAGCAACGCCGCGUGAGUGAUGAAGGUCUUCGGAUCGUAAAACUCUGUUAUUAGGGAAGAACAUAAGUGUAAGUAACUGUGCACAUCUUGACGGUACCUAAUCAGAAAGCCACGGCUAACUCCGUG